CAAGGGGUUGGCUGUCAGAUUUAUUAGAAUUAAGCUGACGUUUCCAAUCGAACAACGAACCGUCGCCUUUGCUUUGAAUAGUGGAAAAGAGCCCAAGCUUAAUUGUGGGAAAAAUAUUUGUCUUUUUACUAUUUAAAGCAUCGACAGAUACGGCGGGAAGCUUUGACACGGGAAAAGUCUCUAAAAUAUUUACAACCAAGAUAGCACUUACAAGUGAGUGGCUUUCUAAGAUGGCCACAGAAUCCCGCAACAUUAACGAUGACUUGCACAAUAGCCAGCGACAAGUGCGGGAUAUCGUUCAAGUUGCGAACUUCUGCACCACUCCGAAGUUCACUCUUAAUUAUAAUAAUAUAUACUAAUUUAUAACAUACUAAUACACUCCAAUAAUUCUAAUCAUAUUUCAGCAAUCUGAUAUAUCAAACAGAAC